rnacentral:rRNA from 1 species
UACGAAGGGGGCUAGCGUUGUUCGGAAUUACUGGGCGUAAAGCGCACGUAGGCGGGUUGUUAAGUCAGGGGUGAAAUCCUGGAGCUCAACUCCAGAACUGCCUUUGAUACUGGCAACCUAGAGACUGGAAGAGGUUAGUGGAAUUCCCAGUGUAGAGGUGAAAUUCGUAGAUAUUGGGAAGAACACCAGUGGCGAAGGCGGCUAACUGGUCCAGCACUGACGCUGAGGUGCGAAAGCGUGGGGAGCAAGCAGG